rnacentral:misc_RNA from 1 species
GGUCGGGCACUUGUUUGUAAUAAAGAGGGCUAUAGAAUGCCAGACAAGCGUGAAAAAAUUGUAAGACAAAGGGCAGAGACAAGAGUUGGCUGCAGAGCAAUGAUUUUGCUUAGAAAAGUAGGCUCCGGUAAAUGGGUUGUUACAAAGUUUGUCAAGGAGCACACUCAUCCUCUAACACCUGGUAAAGGCCGAAGGGAUUGCAUUUAUGAUCAGUAUCCGAAUGAACAUGAUAAAAUCCGUGAACUAUCGCAGCAGCUGGCUAUAGAGAAAAAGAGAGCAGCGACUUACAAAAGGCAUUUGGAAUUGAUAUUUGAGCAUAUUGAGGAGCAUAAUAACAGUCUAUCAAAGAAGAUCCAACAUAUAGUAGACAAUGUGAGAGAGAUGGAAAAAAAAAGAGGAGCAAAAUCGUGUAUAGGGUCCAGUAAUUUUCGCUCGUUUUGUUUUUACUAAAAUACAAAAUCAAGAAUUGGUAUACAGAAUGCUGUUGGGUAGCAACAGAUUCUCAUGGGUUAGACGUCAAAUGCUGACUUGCUCUUCUUGGGUGUCCAGCUAGUUACACAUUGUGAAAAUGUUUUGAUUUAGCAGCAUUGAUUUGGGUUAUUGAGUAUAAUUAUGGUCCUAUUUUUGGAGCACAUAAUGAGUAGGAGAAAUAGAGACUUGAUGUAUAGUUAUCCAAUCCCAUGUCUGCAAGGUUAUGCCAAAAAUAUGAAAUUGGUCUUCACCAUAAGGGCAUCAUUGUGUCCCAAGGAAAUUCUACAUAAAUGGCAAUGGAAUGCAAUGUUGAACUUCCUUGGGACACAAUGAUGCCCUUAUGGNGAAAUGUAUUUCUUUUCUUAUUGUUUUCGUCUUCUUUUUAAUAUAUUUUAUUGGAUUAUGU